GGGGCCGUAGCUCAUCUGGUAGAGCGUCAGGUUCGCAAUCUGAAUGUGGCGAGUUCGAGUCUCGUCGGCUCCA
rnacentral:tRNA from 1 species